CCAAUUAAUAUAAAAUAAGUUUGAACUAAAAAAAUUUCUAAUUUUUUAAUUUAUGGUUAAAAUCCAUUUUUAUUU
rnacentral:tRNA from 1 species